rnacentral:rRNA from 1 species
UAGGCGGUUGGUCGCNUCUGCUGUGAAAGGCUGGGGCUUAACCCUGGUUUUGCAGUGGGUACGGGCUAACUAGAGUGCAGUAGGGGAGACUGGAAUUCCUGGUGUAGCGGUGGAAUGCGCAGAUAUCAGGAGGAACACCGAUGGCGAAGGCAGGUCUCUGGGCUGUAACUGACGCUGAGAAGCGAAAGCAUGGGGAGCGAACAGGAUUAGAUACCCUGGUAGUCCAUGCCGUAAACGUUGGGCACUAGGUGUGGGGGACAUUCCACGUUUUCCGCGCCGUAGCUAACGCAUUAAGUGCCCCGCCUGGGGAGUACGGCCGCAAGGCUAAAACUCAAAGAAAUUGACGGGGGCCCGCACAAGCGGCGGAGCAUGCGGAUUAAUUCGAUGCAACGCGAAGAACCUUACCAAGGCUUGACAUAUACUGGACUGCGUCAGAGAUGGCGAUUCCCUUCGGGGCUGGUAUACAGGUGGUGCAUGGUUGUCGUCAGCUCGUGUCGUGAGAUGUUGGGUUAAGUCCCGCAACGAGCGCGACCCUCGUUCUAUGUUGCCAGCACGUGAUGGUGGGGACUCAUAGGAGACUGCCGGGGUCAACUCGGAGGAAGGUGGGGAUGACGUCAAAUCAUCAUGCCCCUUAUGUCUUGGGCUUCACGCAUGCUACAAUGGCCGGUACAGAGGGUUGCGAUACUGUGAGGUGGAGCUAAUCCCUAAAAGCCGGUCUCAGUUCGGAUUGGGGUCUGCAACUCGACCCCAUGAAGUCGGAGUCGCUAGUAAUCGCAGAUCAGCAACGCUGCGGUGAAUACGUUCCCGGGCCUUGUACACACCGCCCGUCAAGUCACGAAAGUUGGUAACACCCGAAGCCGGUGGCCUAACCCUAGUGG